AUUGAACGCUGGCGGCAGGCCUAACACAUGCAAGUCGAACGAGUGGCGGACGGGUGAGUAAUGUCUGGGAUUCUGCCUGAUGGAGGGGGAUAACUACUGGAAACGGUAGCUAAUACCGCAUCCCAUAGGAUGGGCCCAGAUGGGAUUAGCUAGUAGGUGGGGUAAAGGCUCACUUAGGCGACGAUCCCUAGCUGGUCUGAGAGGAGGACCAGACAAAGUGGAACUGAGAAACGGCCCAGACUCCUACGGAAGGCAGAAGUGGGGAAUAUUGCACAAUGGGCGAAAGCCGGAUGCAGCCAUGCCGCGUGUAUGAAGAAGGCCUUCGGGUUGUAAAGUACUUUCAGCGGGGAGGCGUUACCCGCAGAAGAAGCACCGGCUAACUCCGUGCCAGCAGCCGCGGUAAUAC
rnacentral:rRNA from 1 species